rnacentral:rRNA from 1 species
AGCGAACGCUGGCGGCAGGCCUAACACAUGCAAGUCGAACGAAGCCUUCGGGCUUAGUGGCGGACGGGUGAGUAACACGUGGGAACGUACCUUUUGGUUCGGAAUAACGCAGAGAAAUUUGCGCUAAUACCGAAUGAGCCCUUCGGGGGAAAGAUUUAUCGCCGAAAGAUCGGCCCGCGUUAGAUUAGGUAGGUGGUGUGGUAAAGGCGCACCAAGCCUACGAUGCAUAACUGGUCUGAGAGGAUGAUCAGCCACACUGGGACUGAGACAGGGCCCAGACUGCUACGGGAGGCAGCGGUGGGGAAUCUUGCGCAAUGGGCGAAAGCCUGAAGCAGCCAUGCCGCGUGAAUGAUGAAGGUCUUAGGAUUGUAAAAUUCUUUUACCAGGGACGAUAAUGACGGUACCUGGGGAAAAAGCCCCGGCUAACUUCGUGCCAGCAGCCGCGGUAAAAC